CUUGCUGAGAAUUAGCCAUUCCUCUGCGUGGUGUAAAUACAGUACCUGAAAUGUAGGUAGCGAGCCCUGGGAGCAGUUGUCCUUGUGCAUGGCAGCAGUUCCCGUCCCUCAGGUUCUUGGUAGGGCUAUAAAGCCAUGAGACCCUUCCUCCCACACACAACCAUGGAAGCAAUCAGCUAAUCAAUCUGUGUGCUGCUUCUGUGGGAGGCAGUGGUGUUCCUGACUUCCUGCAGAUACUCUGAAUUCAAACUCUUCCACCUCAAGGAACUGUCUUUACAUGGACCUCUAAGUCAUCAUCCACAAUUUAUGUGAUGAGAACAGUGGUCAUGGGUGUGGAGCGGAGGAGCUAAGUCACA
rnacentral:lncRNA from 1 species